rnacentral:misc_RNA from 1 species
GAUGAAGAACGUAGCGAAAUGCGAUACUUGGUGUGAAUUGCAGAAUCCCGUGAACCAUCGAGUCUUUGAACGCAAGUUGCGCCCGAAGCCAUUAGGCCGAGGGCACGCCUGCCUGGGCGUCACACGUCGUUGCCCCCCCCAUCUACUCCUUCGGGAUUGCGGGGGGCGGAUGAUGGCCUCCCGUGCGCCUCGCCGCGCGGUUGGCAUAAAUGCCAAGUCCUCGGCGACGCACGCCACGACAAUCGGUGGUUGCGAAACCUCGGUUGCCCGUCGUGCGCGGUCGUCGCGCAUCGAGGGCUCGAAAAAAUUGCCGAGUUCCGGCUCGGCUUUCAACGCGACCCCAGGUCAGGCGGGGUUACCCGCUGAAUUUAAGCAUAUCAAUAAGCGGAGGA